ACAGAGCCUGCGUGUGGGUGAGACAGUGCGGGUCAGUCAGCCUUGGCAGGCCACAGCACAUCUCUCACAGGCCUGGGUCCAGCUCAGAACCAUCACAACCCCAGGACAGCCCAUGUACGCAUGCGUAGGACACACCAGCACAGGACACCGCGAGGCAGAGGUGUGCUACUGGCCCAGGGUUCGCAGCUGGGAUGCAGCAGAGUCUCCAAUGCAGGGCUCAUCCUGGGACCACACAGCCUCCUGCAUACAGCUGAGGCUCCUGCAUCUGGCCUCAGUUUCCCUCCAGUGCAGGGGCCCCGGAUGCUGCCUCCCACUCAGGGCUGCUUGGAGAAGUGGACACUGUCGAGGUGAGCUUGGUGGGGACCGUCCAGUGCCCCUCAACUGGGGACCUCCCCACACACUACACGGGCACCCAACGGGGGGCUUCCCAGUGCUGACAGCACUGCUGUUGAGGUCAGAGGCUGCUCACGUGCCCAGAGAGGCAGGCUGGACCGGGGAGUGAACCUAGCCUCACAGCAGCAUGCUGCCUGUGCUCCCGGGGUCAGCUCAUGUUUACCAAGCACCCACUAGGUGCCAAGCACAGGGAAGUAGACUGAGACUCAUGAAAGUCCCAUGGACUUGCCCAUGGCAGGUCCCAUCUCAAAUCCUGGGCUUCACCCCCCAGCCUGCUGCCUCGGUUUCCCCAAGCUAGGUGGUGUGCAGCUUGCCCUGGACUGCCAACUGCUGCCACCAUGCGUCCUGCCCCUGCUCAUCAGGACACAGAGAGGAAGCAGAUGGGUCUGUAGGGAGCGUGGGCACCCCCUGUGCUGGAUCCCUGGGUGCUGGACACCGGAGAGGGUGAGGGCUGAGUUCGAGUAGACUGGGUGCGGCCCUGCUGGGCACACAGCUCUCAUGCAGGGCAGACUGGAAGGGCUGCGGCUCACAGCCCAUUGGCUUGCCCCACUCCUGCUCUGACAUGAGCAGGGACUGACCAGUGCCCUCCCUCGCCUAGAGCCCUCCCAAUUGGCCCCUAGGCUCCCCCUCCCAGUACAAUCCAGGCCCUGCUGCCCUGCUGCCCUGCUCUGGUCUCUCAGGCUUGCACCUUCCAAGCCAGUUCCCAAUACGCCCCCAGCUCCACAACGCCUGGCCUGCCUGGAUCUUCCCGCAGGCUAUGCAGACACACGGCCCCAUGGCUGCCCGUGCGGCUGCUCCAGUCCAGCGUGGCUCCUCGCUGUCCAGGAAGUCCACCUCACCACACGGGGAUCACCUCCGGGAGCCUCAUUGUGUGGCAGUGAGGGAGCAGCGAGGGGAUUCUUCUACCUCCCCUGCCACUUGUGCAGCCUUAGUCUGCACCUUGUGGCUGACCCUGGAGGGACCUGCCACAUCCGACUUACCACAUCCGGCCACCCUUGCCCACGCUUCUCUGACUGCACUGCCAGCCCCCAGGUGCCCAGGUGGAUACCACCCAACAGGAGGGCCUGGCUGCCGUGGUCUCUGCAGGGCCUUCCUGUGGCUGCUGUGGGAGGGUAGUGCCUGGUCACCCACGUAUAGAAGUAAAAUCACCAGGAAGCCACUCCAGACCUUGACCUCUGACUUGACUUGCAGACAAAAGAGCUGUGGCCCUGAUCUCCAGCCUGGGCUCUAAUUCUGUGAUGCGAAGACACCCAGGGGUGCUAUCUACUAGGGGUGCUGAGGAACACCAGGGCGAUAACAGGGUAAGAUCCUGACCUUGUCGCAGGGAGGCUGGGUUCUGGUCUUGGCAGCUUCAAGGACCCCUGUCUGGUCAGGUGGCCUUAGAGAAUCUGGCUCACCUCUGACCUUGUGGCCUUGGCCUCUCUGAGCAAUGGGAGAAAGGCAUCACAUGGACAGAGUGUGAGUGACAGCAGGUGCAUUUGGAGUCCCCAGCCUGAACCAAGAGCAGCAGCUGCCCCCUGGGCCUCAGGAUCCACUCCUCUGAGGUGGACAGAGGAGAAGAGAUGCAGGCUGCAGCCUGUCACUUGUUCUGGGCCCAUGCACAGAGUAGCAUCCACUGUACUCAGUGCCAGCCUUCAAGACACAGGUGGGGGCCGCAGUCCAGGACCGAGGGCAGGCGGGAAACGCCCAGUGGAUGCCACAUUGCCCUGCCUGCUGGACCACCGGUGAGCACCCUGACCUGGGGGAUGCUCUAGGGCAGGGCUCGGGGCAGCUCUGUGCAGAGGUGAGUGAAGCCCUGGCUACAGCGCCAGCAUCCCACAUUGUCCCGGCUGUUCUGCUUCCUCUCCUUCCACAUGCACCUGGGAGGGCACAGAGGAUGGACAAGUACUUGACCCGUGCCACCCACCUGGAAGACCCACAUAGAGUUCCUGGCUUCUGGCUUUGGCCUGGCCUAGCCCCAGCUGCUGCUGGCUUUGAGGAGUGAACCAGCAGGUAGAAGAGAUCUCUUUCCCCUCUCCCUGUCCCUGUCCCUGUCCAACUCCGUCUUUCUCUCUCUGUUGCUCUGCCUAUCAAAUAAAUCAGUCUUUGGAAAAGGUGUGUGUGGUGGGGAGGGUCCAAACCAUGCAGGAAGAAACAGAAGCCCCAGGUCAGGCCCAGCGGGCAUCAGCCUCUGUCCCUGACCUCUGUGCCGCCUUCUGAGCCUCGUGUGCAGUCAGUGAUGCUGAGAAACGUGAAGUUCAAGGAGGAAGGUUUACAUCCAUUCCCCACACUGUCCCAGCAGUGCCGAGCAUAGGCCCUGGAAGCCAGCAGAGCUGGUGGGAGCACAGACGCCCCGAGUGCAACCCUGAGCCAGGGGCUGAGCAAAGCCUCCCCAGCUUCACCCCCUCUGCUGCAGGCCUGGGCUGUGGCUGGCCAAGGGGCGUGGCUCCGUGGCCACAGAGGCACGGGGAUGGCAAGGGUCAGCUUCCUGCCUGGGGCAGCUGCUGGCACUGCAGUGAGUCCUAUGCUUGGGGACCUUCAGGGGGACUGGCUCAGGUCAACCAGCGGGUUACCCCCUUCUUGGCCACUCUCAAGGCCAGGGCACUUCUGGAAAGAGUCGGCUACUUACCUCUUUGGCAAGCUUUUCCGCCCGAUCGUAGAAGUUGGUUUCCAUCAGUCCAAAAGAAUAGAUGCCUUUCACAUAGCUAAAGACAGAAAACAAGUCACCUCAAAAUACAAUAGGACAGGCGGGGAGCACUGCUCUGUGCCCUCCAGUACAUGGGCCGAUGUCCCAACUCCAGGGACCGUGAUGGGACCCUGUUAGACUCAUGCUUUACAGAAUCUACCACGUUAAGAUGGGUGGGCCCUGGGCCGUGACUGUGUCCUAAAGGGGCCAUGAGAACACAGAGAAGGAAGACGGCGGUGAGGAAGCAAAAUCAGCGGGGGCAGCCACGAGCCCAAGCACUCCAGGGACCCAGCAACAGCGGGAGCUGCAAGAGGACGUCAGGCCCCCGCUGAGCAUGGGGCAGGCACUGGCCUGCAGCACACAGGCAGGUGCACCCCAGCUGCUCCGAGUGCCCCACUUGUGGACGCCAUUACAGCUGCGUCUCAGCUUUCCAGGCUCCCUCUACUGAGGGGCUAAUGACCUAAUGACCUUCGUCAUCAGAACCAUAACAGGGCAGGGCCUGCCUGGAUUAGUGCCCUCCCACCCCCAAGUCAUCUGCACAGGGUCUCCCUCCACCCCACCCCUGCCGCAUCUGACUGGUGAAGCCCCCAUGGUGGGACAGAGGAGGACUGCUCCCUGGGAAGCUCUCCUGGCUGGGUUCUGUCUGUGGCUCCUCCUCUGCUUCUGCAGCUCGGCUCCCAGCGUCUGCCCAGCUGGACACCCCCCCUGCACAGCCAGGCUCCUCCCCAGGCCCAGGGGACCUGGGGCCGGGACCCUGUCCACUUCACUCUCACGGCCCCAGCCAGGAUAGGUCCACUUCCCUUGCACAGGAAAUGCACACCCCCAUCUCACCCGUCUCACUGACAGCCAGGACCCCCAGUGCUCACACAGGAUAGAGGCGUCCUGCCCGUGGCUUUCCAGCCAAGGGGAAACAAGACUGAAGCUGGACUCUGCACGCUGGAUGUUAUCUCUACUCCCGUGCGAGAUACAGAUCUGACUCGUAGUUCACAGAAGCAUAUUCUAGAACAGCCCCUUCCAGACGGCUAACUGCAUGGUAACUAAGGAAGCUCUGUGAGGUCAUUCACUGAGCGCUUUCUGGGUUAUUUAAUAAGUGCUUACUGUGUAUCAGGUCCUGAAAGUCCCCUGUGGUGGUCAAGUCCCUAUGUCCACUUGGCUGGACCGCAGAACUCAGUUUUCUGUCCAAACACCAGUCAGGUGUGGCUGAGGCAGUAAGUUGUUCGUGGGGCCAACACUGACAUCUGUCGCUCCCCCUCUUCAUGGAGGAACGACACUAAACCCUGCCUAGGCUUUGUAUCCGAGUCGCGGCACCAUUAUGUCGCUCCCCGUCUUCGUGGAGGAACGACACAGGACCCUGCGCUGUUCUUUCGUCUGCUCGGCCCUCCCCGGGUUUGCUGCUGGUUCUUCCCGGGUUGGCUACCGUCCCUUCCACCUCCGUGGAAGGGCGGUUCCCCCUGGCCACUUUCCCCACUUCCGCGGGGGAGCGGCACACCGCCGGCCGGCUCUCUCGGGGGCUGCACAGGUGUUCCUUCAGAUAGAUGUUCCCCUUAGAUGUUCCUGGUGCAUGUUGUCUCUCUCCUCCUUUAUAGUCCUCUUCCGCCAAUCCCAACUCGGCUGCCCACACGCCGAGUACGCUGCUCUCCUCCAAUCAGGAGCAGGAUCAGCUCCUGGAGGUCAUCACUCAAGUUGGCAAGAGGCAGCUGCGUAGAAGCUGUUUUCUCCUCUCCCAGCACCAUAUUGUGGGAGAGCAGAUGCAUAGAAUAAGUCUUAAUUCCAGUAACUUAGUCUAGUCCGAGUUGCUCCCCACAGACAUCAGUGUUCUUUGAGUUAAAGUGGCUUCUCUCCACAGCGUGGGUGGUCCUCACCCCAUCCGUAGAUAGACUGAGGGCUCCGGAGACCAGGAUUCUGCCUCCAGAUUCAAGUCUCUCCCGUCAGGGGGCUGGUGCUGUGGCGUUGCAGGUUAAAGCCCUGGCCUGCAGCGUUGGCAUCCCAUAUGGGCGCCAGUUCAAGUCCCAGCUGCACUGCUUCCAAUCCAGCUCUCUGCUAUGGCCUGGGAAUGCAGUGGAAGAUGGCCCAAGUCCUCGGCCACUGCACCUGCGUGGGAGGCUGGGAAGAAGCUGCUGACCAGAAGAAGCUCCUCGCUCCUAAUCAGCUCAGCUCUGACCACUGCGGUCAUUCGGAGUGAACCAGUGGAUGAAAGACCUCUCUCUCUCUCUCUCUAAAUCUUAA